GUCAUAGUAACUGGAAUACUGAAGAAAUAAUAAGCGACAUUCUCAGCUUCUCAAGUCUGAGGGUGUCCCUUGGGCAAACUGGACUCUGAUGAUAUUAAGCAGAGGGCUGAAGUGAAGGGUCCUCCUGAGGAGGGAGGCCUUCCAAUGGAAGUUUCUUUCUCCCUCUACCUAUUCUCCAUGAGGUAACUGCCCAGAACAUCAUCAUCCAAGCUAUCCACGCACGCUUCUCUGUGCUUCACAAGCAGAGGCCCCAGUGGAAGAGACCCUGGCCUGUAUCCACCUCUCUCAAGGAAAUGAAGGAAAAAGGACUGUGCAGCACAUAUACUUAAAAUAAAAGAAGAAGAAGGAAAAAGGACUAAAGCCCAACAACUUAUGUAAACUAUGUUUACUACGCACCUUGGCCGUGAAGUCGGGAUGAGGGCAACGUGGCCUCAGAGGGCUGCCAUUAGGAUUCAAGGAGAUGACACAGGUCAGCAAGCCCUUUCUUCAUAAACAGUCCCCAAAGAACAGCCAGCCCAGUUUCUGUCAGGAGGGUCGCAAAUCUAGCCUCAGUGGGGGAUCGGAAUGAAAAGAGAUUGGACUCAACUUCUCCGGUAGCUGGGUGGCGGAGGAAGCCCUCAUGAGCUCAUUUCUCCAUCAAAUACAAGCUGGGGUCUAAAGUUUCAAAACACAGGCUGGGGCAUGCUGGCACAGUCCCACGAGAGGACAAAGAAAAGAGAAAAGAGGCUGGAUGGAAGAGAAGCCACCACACGGCAGGUUCCACAACUAACUGUCGGGAGGAGGCUCCCAGGCUGGCUUCCAGCCACAUCCGCUCUCUGCACAGCUCUGAGACCGCAGGAAGAAGGGACCCCCACCAUGUCUGUAUUUACAGCUGGGAACUGGCAUGGGCACGGGAAACUCGGAAAUAAACUCUGUCAGGAAGCGAGAACUGGAAGAUGCUUCCAUAGCAACGCCCAUCUGGAGCUCCCUGCCCGCAGCUGGAAACAUUCAGAAGCGAAGCUUAUCUAGAGAUGUCCACCAAAUUCAUUUUUUCCAUUUGCACUUGGAAUAUGUUACUUAAACUUCACUUCUCUGGGGAGCCUCUGGGAAGCCCCUAUUCUUUGGCUCAAAAAAAUCCUAUCCUGAACAUUUAGGACACAGGACUCAUCAGGGUGGCUGUGUGUUUCUCCCUCUCUCUGUGGAGAGGUGGGCUGUGUCUGCCUUGUUCACUGGUACCUGGCCCAGAACAGGUCUUUAAUCCAUGCUUCCUGAUUAAAGAAGUCAACUGGUUUGUUCUCGAUUUGGUUAUUCAUAACUUUAGCUACCAUGUAAGCACCUGUAUGCACAUGGCAAUGAACUGAGAUGCACGACACCCCAUGAGGGACUUACUACUGUUACGCCCACUUUGAAAAUGAGGCUCCUUCUCAAGGUCAAAGCCACAAAAGAACUGGAGUUCUUUCAUCUCAAGAGAAGGAUAGGAGAGAGUGUGACUAUCUAUCUAAAGUAGGGCUGGACAGGUAGAGGGACAUAUAAUGAGUCGGCUCUGACACUAAGAACUUUUUGAGUAGAAAUGUUAUAGAGCUGGAGUGUAUCCCUCAUCGAGGAACUCUGGAACACAUGCUUCUUGGGACACAAACAUUAAACAGCCUGCUACAUCCCGGGAGAAUUCUACCCAACCUUCCCAGAAACCACAGCUCAUAUGAUUCCUUACCUUUAACAUAUUUUUUUCUGCUUAUGAAAGCAAUAUAUGCUUAUAUAUGCAUAUAAAAAAAACUUGGAAAAUAAAGAAAGUGCAAAGAAGAAUAUAAAGUUACCCAUCAUCUUCCCACCAAGGGAUAACCACUGUAAAGAUGUUGGUUUAUUUCCUUCCAGUCUUUUUUUUCUAGUGUGAACAGUGUGUGUAUAGGAGAGAUAUGGAAAGAGAGAUUUUUUUCCCCCUUUAAAGUCUCCUACCUGUGCUUUUCUGUGAGACUUUUAAACAUCAAGUGAAAAAUAAUAUUUUCAAGUGGCAAAAUUAAGCCUAUUUCCUCAAACUACAGACGUGGGGAGGAAGGAGCCUUCCCUGUUCCUCUCCUCCAAUUUCUGCUUCCACCUGACCCCUACUACAGACCAGCAGUUCUCAAUCCUAACUGUGCCUGACCAUAACAGUAACUGCCACAGUCAGCAUUAACUGAGCAACUACUACAGAAGAGGCCAUUUAAAACAUUUUACAGAUAUUCUCUAAUUUAAUCCUUACAAUCCUAUGAGGCAGAUAUCAUCAUCAUUUUACAGAUGAGGAAACUGAGGCAAAAAAGGUUAAGUGACUUUCCCAAGGUCAUCUGGCUGUUAAAUGGUGGUGUUGGAACUUGAACCCAGGCCAUGAGGCUCAAGGCGUCCCCUUUUCCCUGGUCCACACUGCUCAAGACCUCGGCAACAGUGACACCAACCCUGAGCUUCAGGGCAAGGUUCCCAAUGUUCCUACUGCCAAGCGUGUCAUCAUGAUUAUUCAUACUUCUCUCCAGACUCAUUCUGUUUCCUAAAGGAAAUGAGAAAUUGCCGAAAUUCAGCACAAGUGAGAGAGCCGGAAGCUACAGCUGACCACAUCCACAUGUGGGUCUCCUGCGGGGCUGCCUAAGAGACAUUCUUAAAUGAUGACCCUUCUCAAGGGUCCAGGGUCAGCCCCUGGGCUGUUGACCCUCCACUGAGACUCCACCCAGCACCAGAUGGGAUGUGAAGGCCCCUCCCUAACUCCCAGUGCCGCAGAGGGAUGGGAACAAGCCUCGCUGGAAAACUCCCAGCCCACCACCUAUUUAAGAGUGAAUCUGGAGAAGGGGCUGGGAGCAAAGCCUGUGUGGCAGGGACAGGCAAGGCCUUCUCUUGUGUGUUCAGAGGACUAGCGGGGCUGGACUCAGUGUCUGGUCACUGUGGAGCAUCAGCCAGUUAUGUUUUUGCCACCAGCACACAGAUCCCUGAAUGAGAGCAGCUCAUGACUCCCUCCACCGAAUGGCAAAACCACACCCACGUCUGAAGGGGGUUUUCCCGGGGGUUAAUCACCAGGGAGUUUGUCUCCCCUCCAAGGAGGGAAGAGAAAACCCUCAUUUCAGAAAAAGGUCACUGAAUGCCUGGUUCACAGGAGAAAUUGCUACGUUGGGCUUGAAAGCGACUACGCUUUCAGCUGCUGAGCCCAAAGGCUCUCUCCACAAAGGGGCAUCCAGGCAGAGGAUGAGGGGAAGAUAUCGAGGGCUAAGACUGUCGUUUAUCCAAUGGGCCCUCGAACUGCCUGUGUGCAGUAGGAGCUGUUCACCACUAUUCAAUUUUAGGCUGUGUGUGUGUGUGUGUGUGUGUGUGUGUGUGUGUAUGCUGGGGGUUGAGUGGGGCUGGGUUUGUUCUGUUAACAUUCUAAAAAGCGUGCAAAGGUACAAUGAACUCCCAUGUACUCUAACCCAGAUUCAAUAAUUACCAAGAUUCUGCCACACGA